rnacentral:rRNA from 1 species
UCGGGAAUUUUGGGCAAUGGGCGAAAGCCUGACCCAGCAACGCCGCGUGAAGGAUGAAGUAUUUCGGUAUGUAAACUUCGAAAGAAUAGGAAGAAUAAAUGACGGUACUAUUUAUAAGGUCCGGCUAACUACGUGCCAGCAGCCGCGGUAAUACGUAGGGACCAAGCGUUGUUCGGAUUUACUGGGCGUAAAGGGCGCGUAGGCGGCAAUUCAAGUCAUCUGUGAAAUCUCCGGGCUUAACUCGGAACGGUCAGAUGAUACUGCUUUGCUAGAGUGCAGAAGGGGCAAUCGGAAUUCUUGGUGUAGCGGUGAAAUGCGUAGAUAUCAAGAGGAACACCUGAGGUGAAGACGGGUUGCUGGGCUGACACCGACGCUGAGGCGCGAAAGCCAGGGGAGCAAACGGGAUUAGAUACCCACGUAGUCCCUGAGCGGGCUGGCAAGGCGCAU